rnacentral:tRNA from 1 species
GGUAAUGUGGUGUAAUGAUUUGAGCGCUAGACUAAGAUUCUGGAAAACCAGGGUUCAAAUCCCCGCUUUGCAA